UCCACAUUUGCUGUCGAGAUACUCUUGCCAGCCCUGAUUGUGGAGCCCUUCAGUCUGGUUUGCAAGGGUGAAGCUAUCUGGAUUCUAUAAAGCACAAAUUUUGCCUAGUUCACAGGCAUUCUUUUUCUCCUAAAUCAAUCACUCUUUGUGCUACUUGCUGGAUUGCUGCAUCUGCUGUAAACAAAUGGUUUAGAAGGGCUAUCAGUAUACCAUAUUGGUUAGAGGGAGCUUGCUGUAAAAUCAGAGCUCUCAUCCCAGCUGUAAAUAUCUGGGUAAUUCCCCUUUGAGGGAAUUGGAUUUCCCCCAUCCAAACCAUCACAGGAUGUUUUUCAAGAAAGUCAUUUUCAGUUCAGGAUUCCAGAUACUUUCCCUGGAGUCCUGCCUGUGAUGGCAAUUUUUUGUUAUAGGAAGCAGCAAAACUAUUUCUGAGGAGUUCUUUGCGAUGCCAGGCUAAGUAUUAUUGGGGAUAUCCAUCAUCACAUAUAGGAAAAAGUUGGCUCUCCCAGCUGGUGCUGCAGGUCUCUGGCCAUGGAACGCUCCUUCCCAGGAAGUAAGAUGAGACAUUCUUCCUUGAGAGGCCAGCCCUUAAAUGAGCCCAGAGACCCAGCUUUCAAUCACACAGGAAGCACAGGUAAAUUGUUUGCACCUGUGCUUCCUCAGCUAGCCUCUCACUUUUUUAUUUUUCACUGUGCAGUGUACAAACCUUUUAUUCCAUUGGUUUACAACAGUCUGUCAGCUUGGUCUGUCUUCUGACAAGCUGUAAAAUAGUUUUCUAGGUUCAAGCACUUAACAUCCAUGGCUCCAGUAUAUUUUCAAAUAUAACAAUCUGCCAGUUCAUGCUCUUUGCAUUUCCUUGCUUAUUUCAUUCUUUCACAUUGCAGGUCUUGAGAAACUGUCCUUCCCCUUUUCAGCCCACAUAAACUCUCUUGAUUCUGUGCCUGUGUAGCCUUGUUGGCUAAGACUGCUCAGAUCUUUCUGAAGAUACUUUCUGAAGUCUUUCUCCUCUCCCACUGCUGAUAUAUUUGCCAGGCACCAAGAGGCAGCAAACUGUUCAAUCCCUUACAGCAUGGGUCUCCAAACUUUUGCCUCUCCUUGGCCACAUAUAAAACAUAUAACAUAAUUAAUAUGUGUAAGUUAAAAAAAGUAUUUAUUUGUAUAUUUUUAAAUUAAAAAAUAGAGAAAUAGCAACACAAAUGUAGUGGGAUACUUGGCCUUGUUUAUUGAAGCUAAUUCAUCAAGAUCUAGUUUUGUAGAAGUCGUCACAGUUCUUUGCGAGUUAUCAAGAUCCUCAUCAGUGAUUUUUGAUCUGAUUUUGUUCUUCCUUUGUUUCACCUUUGAAAACGGUUUCUCACAAGUGUGUGUACUGCAAAAAAGCAACGACAUGAAGAUGGCAGGAUUGUGAAGCGAAGGAUAUUUUUCCCAGGUAAUAAUAAUUCAGCUGUGAUUGCGGAGCUGUACCAGGAAUGCAACAACAUGAUUGGCAGCAUACACAGAGAUUUGGAGUCACCGCUAAUGAAUGCAGAGUAAAGAAGUAACUCUGUAAAGGCAUACGUCCUCAGAAUUUAAUGUACAUUGAGGUCCAUUUAUCUUCAAAUACACACAUGCUACAGAUUGUCAAGCCAGUGUAUUUAUUCUGCUUGUAAGUGGUUGUGAUUCACUUCAGACCAUACAGUGAGCUAGAAAGGGGCAAAUCUUAAGCGAAAAGAUUUUGUACGCUUCCCUUUAUAUCAUGUAGUCAAAAUUAUAUUUGUAUGCAAUGUUGUGAGGCUGAAUGCAGAAAUCUGUCACACUGAACAGUGCUGCUUUCAUAAUGAAUGUUAAUGUACCCCUGUAUUGAGAUAUUGGGCACAACAGUUUAAAAACAUUGCAAGGUCAGCUGUAGGCUGCUCUUAGAAAUGCUUAUGAUACAAAUUGUUUUCCAAAUAACAGGGGAAGUUUGGAAUUUCUUGCCAGUUAAAAUCAUAGAAUCAUAGGAUGGAUUGCAUUAGGAAUUGGCUGUAUGGACGCAGCCAAAGGGUUGUGAACAGUGGUUCUGUGUCAGGGUGGAGGUCGAUCACAAGUGGUGUCCCUCAGGGGUAGGUCUCGGGACUGGUGCUCUUCAACAUCUUUAUCAAUGACAAGUGAUGGCAUUGAGUGCACCCUCAGCAAGCUUGCAGAUGACACCAAGCUGAGCAGCUGUCAUGGUUUUGUAACUUCGCUAUUGGUAUUCCACAUCAUAACAUCAUGGACAAAAGAAAAGAACUACGUGACAGCAGUGCAGUUGAUAAGUUGGAAGGAAGGGAAGCCAUCCAGAGGGACAUGGACAGGCUGGAGAAGUGGACCCAUGAAAACCUUACGAAGAUUCAAAAAGGCCAAGUGCAGGGUGCUGCACUUGGGUUGGGGCAAUCCGAGGUAUUUAUACAAACUGGGGGAAAAUCUUGAGAGCAACCCUGUGGAGAAGGACUUGGGGGUCCUGGUAGACGAGAAGCUGAACAUGAGCCAACAGUGUGCACGUGCAGCCCAGAAGGCCAACUGUGUUCUGGGCUGCAUAAAAAAAGGGGUGGCCAGAAGGGAGAGGGAGGUGAUUGUGCCCCUCUACUUGGCUCUUGUGAGGCCCCAUCUGCAGUACUGCAUCCAGGUCUGGGGCCCCCAGCACAGGAAGGAUGUGGAGCUCUUGGAGUGGGUCCAGAGGAGGGCCACUAAGAUGAUCAGAGGGCUGGAGCACCUCUCCUAUGAGGAAAGGCUGAGGGAACUGGGCUUGUUUAGCUUGGAGAAGAGAAGGCUCUGGGGAGACCUCACUGAGGCCUUCCAGUACUUGAAGGGAGUGUAUAAACAGGAGGGGGAACGGCUGUUUACAAGGGUGGAUAGUGAUAGGGCAAUGAAAUGAUCCAAUGAAUAGGGAAUGGUUUUAAACUGAGACGGGAGAAGUUUAGGUUAGACACUAGGAGGAAUUUUUUCACCCAGAGGGUGGUGAUGCAGUGGAACAGGUUGCCCAAGGAGGUUGUGGAUGCCCCAUCCCUGGAGGCAUUCAAGGCCAGGCUUUUCAUUCUUCUUUUGUUAAGUAAUGUCCUAUAGAUACUGGCAUUUAUAUCCUAUGUUUUUUUUUUGUUUUUUUUUUCCAAUAACUGGAUGUGCUGAGAUCUCUGUAACUGAAACCAAACCCUGUUGGUGAAGGACCUCUACCUCUGUCUUAUUUAGACUGUCAACAUUCAACAAUGAAAUGUAACUGUCAAUUUUUUUUUUUUUCUGACUAAACCUGCUGAUUUGUUUUCUAUCUCACUUUAAAUAUAUGGUGUUUCACUUUAAAUAAAUUUAUUGGCUUCUGUGCACAUUUAAAAAC